GUCAUAUAAUGUUUAAACACCAUUUCCCGUACGAUCACCAAAGUUAGGCAACGUUGAGCCUUGUCGCUACUUAGAUAGGUGACCGCUUGGGAAUAUCAGGUUCUGUA